rnacentral:tRNA from 1 species
AUUAGCUCGGUAGGUUAGGGCAUGGUGCUGAUAUCACCAGGGUUGUGGGUUCAAUUCCUGUAU